CAGCAGCCGCGGUAAUACGAAGGGUGCAAGCGUUACUCGGAAUUACUGGGCGUAAAGCGUGCGUAGGUGGUGGUUUAAGUCCGUUGUGAAAGCCCUGGGCUCAACCUGGGAAUUGCAGUGGAUACUGGGUCACUUGAGUGUGGUAGAGGAUAGUGGAAUUUCCGGUGUAGCAGUGAAAUGCGUAGAGAUCGGAAGGAACAUCUGUGGCGAAGGCGACUAUCUGGGCCAACACUGACACUGAGGCACGAAAGCGUGGGGAGCAAACAGGAUUAGAUACCCGUGUAGUCCCUGUCUCUUAUAC
rnacentral:rRNA from 1 species